UUUUAAUUGAACUGAUAAUUACGUUAUUGAUUAUGAGGUAACUCAGGAGUAUGAUGAUAUAUUAUUAGUGUAAGAAGUUUAUGAAGAGUAGGUGAUGACGAGAUUCAAUGCAAGUGAUUUAACAUGAACCAUCUUUUAUGAAAUGGUCACAUCUGGACUUGGCGGCAGAAUCUGACAGGGCUUAUCAAUAUGGCCCACCUGAACCUGUGUUGUACCAAGAAGCUUCCUUAAUGUUUGAGGAGGGAGAGAGAUGGAUGAAACAGAUAUUCCGGUAUUCAACCAAUAAACUCUCAGACUUGGCUGGUUUACGGUGGACCUUGAAGGUAAACAUUCUGCAAUUGACGGUCAGAUACUUGAAGAGCACACAGAAUAGGUAGUCUAUGUCAUUCACAGGGUAUCAACUGUAUAAUUUUGUAGAAAGCACCUGUGAUAGUACUUGAAGGUUGAAUAAUGUAGUGUCAGAAUUGAAACCACUAUGUGCUAGUUAUGUUAAACAUUUCAAGGAAUAUUGCAGUAAUGUUCUUUUACAAAUACAUUUAAAGUA